UUACUGGUUCUGUUUCUCUAAGAACCAGACAAAUAGAAAAGGGGAGAUUUAUCAGUGGAAGGCACAAUGAAAGAGAGAUUGGAGAAAGAGGUACAUCAAAGAAAAUGAAUGAGAGGUCACAUGGCUAUGUGGCACCAAGAAUGAGAGGCCUACUAAGACUGCAAGCUUCUAAGCUCACUAAGCAUAUGGUCCUAGCUGCAGACUAAGUCUUACUGAGUAACCAGAGUUUAAUCUUCAUCAACGUUCUAAAUAGGAUAGUACUAAAAGGAUGAGCUGGUUUCCUAGAUGUCAUCAAAGAAGCUAAAAAGAAAACCCACUGAAUGGAGCCUGUUCCGAGCUAUAGAAGAUACAAAAUGUUUGAGAACUUAGCCUUGGCUUCAGGCAUGUUGAAAUCUAACAAAGCAACCUAGACCACAGUGAUCUAGGUAAUAAAG
rnacentral:lncRNA from 1 species